rnacentral:misc_RNA from 1 species
AACGCACAUUGCGCCCGGCAGUAAUCUGCCGGGCAUGCCUGUCCGAGCGUCAUUUCUGCCCUCGAGCCGCUAAUCUCUAGUGGAUCGGUGUUGGGGCACUACGGUAAAACGUAGGCCCCGAAAUGAAGUGGCGGUCCCGCCGCGGCGCCCCAUGCGUAGUAGCGUCUAGUCUCGCAUCGGGUCCCGGCGGAGGCCUGCCGUCAAGCCUAUUUAUCUUUCUAUGGUUUGACCUCGGAUCAGGUAGGGUUACCCGCUGAACUUAA